CUUAGUGGGAACGGGUGAGUAACACGUGAGUUACCUGCCCCGAAGCGGGGGAAAGCCCGAAGAAAUUCGGAUUAAUACCCCAUGUGAUCGUAAGAUUAAAGGCGGCGUAAGCUGUCGCUUCGGGAUGGGCUCGCGGCCUAUCAGCUUGUUGGUGAGGUAAUGGCUCACCAAGGCGAUGACGGGUAGCUGGUCUGAGAGGAUGAUUAGUCACACUGGAACUGAGACACGGUCCAGACACCUACGGGUGGCAGCAGUCG
rnacentral:rRNA from 1 species